rnacentral:rRNA from 1 species
AUUGAACGCUGGCGGCAGGCCUAACACAUGCAAGUCGAACGAGUGGCGGACGGGUGAGUAAUGUCUGGACACCUGCCUGAUGGAGGGGGAUAACUCCUGUAAACGGUGGCUAAUACCGCAUACCAUCAGAUGUGCUCAGAUGGGAUUAGCUAGUUGGUGGGGGAACGGCUAACCAAGGCGACGAUCCCUAGCUGGUCUGAGAGGAUGACCAGCCACACUGGAACUGAGGCACGGUCCAGACUCCUACGGGAGGCAGCAGUGGGGAAUAUUGCACAAUGGACGAAAGCCUGAUGCAGCCAUGCCGCGUGUAUGAAGAAGGCCUUCGGGUUGUAAAGUACUUUCAGCGGGGAAGCGUUACCCGCAGAAAAAGCACCGGCUAACUCCGUGCCAGCAGCCGCGGUAAUUC